ACAAGGUCUCCGUUGGUGAACCAGCGGAGGGAUCAUUACUGAGUUACCGCUCUAUAACCCUUUGUGAACAUACCUAACUGUUGCUUCGGCGGGCAGGGGGUGCCGCCUGCGGACCCCCCUCCCGGCCCUGCCCUCACGGGCGGAGCGCCCGCCGGAGGAUACCAAACUCUAUUUUAACGACGUUUCUUCUGAGUGGCACAAGCAAAUAAUUAAAACUUUCAACAACGGAUCUCUUGGUUCUGGCAUCGAUGAAGAACGCAGCGAAAUGCGAUAAGUAAUGUGAAUUGCAGAAUUCAGUGAAUCAUCGAAUCUUUGAACGCACAUUGCGCCCGCCAGCAUUCUGGCGGGCAUGCCUGUUCGAGCGUCAUUUCAACCCUCAAGCUCUGCUUGGUGUUGGGGCCCUACGGUUGACGUAGGCCCUUAAAGGUAGUGGCGGACCCUCUCGGAGCCUCCUUUGCGUAGUAACUAACGUCUCGCACUGGGAUUCGGAGGGACUCUUGCCGUAAAACCCCCAAAUUUUUAAAGGUUGACCUCGGAUCAGGUAGGAAUACCCGCUGAACUUAAGCAUAU
rnacentral:rRNA from 1 species